rnacentral:rRNA from 1 species
GGUGGUGCAUGGUUGUCGUCAGCUCGUGUCGUGAGAUGUUGGGUUAAGUCCCGCAACGAGCGCAACCCUUAAGCUUAGUUGCCAUCAUUAAGUUGGGCACUCUAAGUUGACUGCCGGUGACAAACCGGAGGAAGGUGGGGAUGACGUCAAAUCAUCAUGCCCCUUAUGAUUUGGGCUACACACGUGCUACAAUGGACAAUACAAAGGGCAGCGAAACCGCGAGGUCAAGCAAAUCCCAUAAAGUUGUUCUCAGUUCGGAUUGUAGUCUGCAACUCGACUACAUGAAGCUGGAAUCGCUAGUAAUCGUAGAUCAGCAUGCUACGGUGAAUACGUUCCCGGGUCUUGUACACACCGCCCGUCACACCACGAGAGUUUG